GCCGGGGUGGUGAAAUGGUAUACACGCCAGCCUUAGGAGCUGGUGCCGCAAGGCGUGCGAGUUCGAGUCUCGCUCCCGGCA
rnacentral:tRNA from 1 species